rnacentral:rRNA from 1 species
UGGGGAAUCUUGCACAAUGGGGGCAACCCUGAUGCAGCGACGCCGCGUGAGCGAUGAAGCCCUUCGGGGCGUAAAGCUCUUUCGACCGGAACGAUAAUGACGGUACCGGGAGAAGAAGCUGCGGCUAACUACGUGCCAGCAGCCGCGGUAAUACGUAGGCAGCAAGCGUUGUUCGGAGUUACUGGGCGUAAAGAGUGCGUAGGCGGUUUUCUAAGUUCGGUGUGAAAUCUCCCGGCUUAACUGGGAGGGUGCGCCGAAGACUGGGAAGCUGGAGUGUGGGAAAGGCAGGCGGAAUUCCUGGUGUCGCGGUGAAAUGCGUAGAUAUCAGGAGCAACACCGGCGGUGUAGACGGCUUGCUAGACCAUAACUGACGCUGAGGCACGAAAGCGUGGGUAGCAAACA